CCGUGCGGCAUCAACCGGGCGUGAUCGACGCCGGUCCUCGAGCGGCCGGCCGCGAGGACGGAACCGGGGUUCGAUUCCACGCCGCACCGG
rnacentral:tRNA from 1 species